ensembl:snRNA U6 U6 spliceosomal RNA
GUGUUUGCUGCGGCAGCACAUAUACUGAAAUUAGAAUGAUACAGAGAAGAUUAGUAUGGACCCUGCACAAGGAUGACAUGCAAAUUCAUGAACUCUUUUGUAUUUUU